rnacentral:rRNA from 1 species
AGAGUUUGAUCCUGGCUCAGAAUGAACGCUGGCGGCGUGCCUAACACAUGCAAGUCGGAUGUGCCGCAAGGUGCAUGGCAGACGGGUGAGUAACGCGUGGGGAAUCUACCUCUUUGUGGGGAAUAACGCUCCGAAAGGAGUGGUAAUACCGCAUGAGACCAAUGGCUGGAAUGUUGUUGGUGAAACCUGGGGACCGCAAGGCCUGGGGCAAGGAGAGGAUCCUGCGUCUGAUUAGCUAGUUGGCGGGGUAACGGCCCACCAAGGCGACGAUCAGUAGCCGGCCUGAGAGGGUGAUCGGCCACACUGGAACUGAGACACGGUCCAGACUCCUACGGGAGGCAGCAGUGGGGAAUUUUGCGCAAUGGGCGAAAGCCUGACGCAGCAACGCCGCGUGGGUGAUGAAGG